rnacentral:rRNA from 1 species
UGGGGAAUCUUGCGCAAUGGGCGAAAGCCUGACGCAGCGACGCCGCGUGAGUGAUGAAGGCCUUCGGGUUGUAAAGCUCUUUGGGGAGAGACGAAUAAGCUUUGGCUAAUAUCCAGGGUGAUGACGGUAUCUCCUUAGCAAGCACCGGCUAACUCUGUGCCAGCAGCCGCGGUAAGACAGAGGGUGCAAACGUUUUUCGGAAUUACUGGGCGUAAAGCGCAUGUAGGCGGCCUAGCAGUUCGGAUGUGAAAGCCCUCGGCUCAACCGAGGAAGUGCAUUCGAAACCGAAAGGCUUGAGUCACGGAGAGGGUAGUGGAAUUCUCGGUGUAGAGGUGAAAUUCGUAGAUAUCGAGAGGAACACCCGUGGCGAAGGCGGCUUUCUGGACAGCGAUUGACGCUGAGACGCGAAAGCGUGGGGAGCAAACA